CAUCGCGUCCGCAACUGGCGAGAAUGAGGUGGAUCAACCACCGGGGAGCGGACAGAUAAUUCCACCGCCGAUCGCCUGGGCAUUUCUG
rnacentral:ncRNA from 2 species